AUUGAACGCUGGCGGCAGGCCUAACACAUGCCAGUCGAACGGUAACAGGAAGCAGCUUGCUGCUUUGCUGACGAGUGGCGGACGGGUGAGUAAUGUCUGGGAAACUUCCUGAUGGAGGGGGAUAACUACUGGAAACGGUAGCUAAUACCGCAUAACGUCGCAAGACCAAAGAGGGGGACCUUCGGGCCUCUUGCCAUCGGAUGUGCCCAGAUGGGAUUAGCUAGUAGGUGGGGUAACGGCUCACCUAGGCGACGAUCCCUAGCUGGUCUGAGAGGAUGACCAGCCACACUGGAACGGAGACACGGUCCAGACUCCUACGGGAGGCAGCAGUGGGGAAUAUUGCACAAUGGGCGCAAGCCUGAUGCAGCCAUGCCGCGUGUAUGAAGAAGGCCUUCGGGUUGUAAAGUACUUUCAGCGGGGAGGAAGGGAGUAAAGUUAAUACCUUUGCUAAUUGACGUUACCCGCAGAAGAAGCACCGGCUAACUCCGUG
rnacentral:rRNA from 1 species